UACAGAGGGUGCAAACGUUGUUCGGAAUUACUGGGCGUAAAGCGUGUGUAGGCGGCCUCGUAGGUCGGAUGUGAAAGCUCUCGGCUCAACCGGGAAAGUGCAUUCGAAACCACAAGGCUUGAGUGUCGGAGAGGAAGGCGGAAUUGUCGGUGUAGAGGUGAAAUUCGUAGAUAUCGACAGGAACACCUGCGGCGAAAGCGGCCUUCUGGACGAACACUGAACGCUGAGACGAACGGAAAAGCAGUGGGGCAAC
rnacentral:rRNA from 1 species